rnacentral:rRNA from 1 species
UACGUAGGUGGCAAGCGUUUGUCCGGAUUUAUUGGGUUUAAAGGGUGCGUAGGCGGUCUUAUAAGUCAGUGCUGAAAUAUCCCGGCUUAACCGGGAGGGUGGCAUUGAUACUGCAGGACUUGAGUAUAGUCGAGGUAGGCGGAAUUGACGGUGUAGCGGUGAAAUGCUUAGAUAUCGUCAAGAACACCGAUAGUGUAGACAGUUUACUAGGCUAUAACUGACGCUGAGGCACGAAAGUGUGGGGAUCAAACAGG